GACGAACGCUGGCGGCGUGCUUAACACAUGCAAGUCGAACGGUAAGGCCCUUCGGGGUACACGAGUGGCGAACGGGUGAGUAACACGUGGGUGAUCUGCCCUGCACUUCGGGAUAAGCCUGGGAAACUGGGUCUAAUACCGGAUAGGACCACUGCCUGCAUGGGUGGUGGUGGAAAGCUUUUGCGGUGUGGGAUGGGCCCGCGGCCUAUCAGCUUGUUGGUGGGGUGAUGGCCUACCAAGGCGACGACGGGUAGCCGGGCUGAGCGGGGGACCGGUGCCACUGGGACUUGGAUACGGCCCAGACUCCUACGGGAGGCAGCAGUGGGGAAUAUUGCACAAUGGUCGCAAGCCUGAUGCAGCGACGCCGCGUGAGGGAUGACGGCCUUCGGGUUGUAAACCUCUUUCAGCACCGACGAAGCGCAAGUGACGGUAGGUGUAGAAGAAGGACCGGCCAACUACGUGCCAGCCGCCGCGGUAA
rnacentral:rRNA from 1 species